UGCUCCCUUCGGCAACACUAUACUAAAAUUGAAACGAUACAGAGAUUAGCAUGGCCCUGCACAAGAAUGACGUACUGAAUACGUAGAAAUCUCAACAUGGGUUU
ensembl:snRNA U6 U6 spliceosomal RNA